AAAGGCAGGAGCAUGUGACAGAGCACCUGGGAAAAAGAGUGAUUGUGAGUUCCGCUGCAGUAGACUUAAAUGUCCCUGCCCAGCAGUCCUAAAGGGAGCAACAGAGCUCCCAGCAGAGCACUUGAGCUCUGAUAA